UACGGAGGGAGCUAGCGUUGUUCGGAAAUACUGGGCGUAAAGCGCACGUAGGCGGCGCAGCAAGUCAGGGGUGAAAUCCCGGGGCUCAACCCCGGAACUGCCCUUGAAACUGCAGUGCUAGAAUUCUGGAGAGGCGAGUGGAAUUCCGAGUGUAGAGGUGAAAUUCGUAGAUAUCUGGAGGAACACCGGUGGCGAAGGCGGCAUCCUGGACCAACACUGACACUGAUGAGCGAAAGCCAGGGGAGCAAACGGG
rnacentral:rRNA from 1 species